rnacentral:pre_miRNA from 1 species
UAUUACCAUCKUCCUCUUGGUGAUCGCCCUGUCCCAUAUGUCCUUCUGGAUUCAGGGUCUGCAUAUGGACAGGUGUCCUUCUGGAUUCAGGGUCUGCAUAUGGACAGGGUGAUUACCAAGGUGAUGACGGUAAUA